ACAUUUUUACACUCUGACCUCGGAUCAGGUA
rnacentral:rRNA from 1 species